GCAGCCGCCGCGGUAAAACGUAGGUGGCAAGCGUUGUCCGGAAUUAUUGGGCGUAAAGGGCUCGCAGGCGGUUUCUUAAGUCUGAUGUGAAAGCCCCCGGCUCAACCGGGGAGGGUCAUUGGAAACUGGGAAACUUGAGUGCAGAAGAGGAGAGUGGAAUUCCACGUGUAGCGGUGAAAUGCGUAGAGAUGUGGAGGAACACCAGUGGCGAAGGCGACUCUCUGGUCUGUAACUGACGCUGAGGAGCGAAAGCGUGGGGAGCGAACAGGAUUAGAUACCCCAGUAGUCCCUGUCUCUUAUAC
rnacentral:rRNA from 1 species